rnacentral:rRNA from 1 species
AUUGAUCGCUGGCGGCAGGCCUAACACAUGCAAGUCGAGCGGUAGCGGGAGGAAGCUUGCUUCCUCGCCGGCGAGCGGCGGACGGGUGAGUAAUGUCUGGGAAACUGCCCGAUGGAGGGGGAUAACUACUGGAAACGGUAGCUAAUACCGCAUAACGUCUACGGACCAAAGUGGGGGACCUUCGGGCCUCACACCAUCGGAUGUGCCCAGAUGGGAUUAGCUGGUAGGUGGGGUAAUGGCUCACCUAGGCGACGAUCCCUAGCUGGUCUGAGAGGAUGACCAGCCACACUGGAACUGAGACACGGUCCAGACUCCUACGGGAGGCAGCAGUGGGGAAUAUUGCACAAUGGGCGCAAGCCUGAUGCAGCCAUGCCGCGUGUGUGAAGAAGGCCUUCGGGUUGUAAAGCACUCUCAUCGAGGAGGAAGGUGUUGUAGAUGAUAGCU